CCUACGGGGGGCAGCAGUGAGGAAUAUUGGUCAAUGGACGAGAGUCUGAACCAGCCAAGUAGCGUGAAGGAUGACUGCCCUAUGGGUUGUAAACUUCUUUUAUAUGGGAAUAAAACGUUCCACGUGUGGGAUUUUGUAUGUACCAUAUGAAUAAGGAUCGGCUAACUCCGUGCCAGCAGCCGCGAUAAUACGGAGGAUCCGAGCGUUAUCCGGAUUUAUUGGGUUUAAAGGGAGCGUAGGUGGAUUGUUAAGUCAGUUGUGAAAGUUUGCGGCUCAACCGUAAAAUUGCAGUUGAAACUGGCAGUCUUGAGUACAGUAGAGGUGGGCGGAAUUCGUGGUGUAGCGGUGAAAUGCUUAGAUAUCACGAAGAACUCCGAUUGCGAAGGCAGUUCACUGGACUGCAACUGACACUGAGGCUCGAAAGUGUGGGUAUCAAACAGGAUUAGAUACCCUUGUAGUC
rnacentral:rRNA from 1 species